UUGUCAUUUCGCGUCGGGACGUCGGCCGUGUGGUUGACCAGAAAGCUGUUGGGAAGCAGGCGCGGGAAGCGCCCGUUUGUCGCAGGCUCCGAAGGGAAGGCCGCAGUUGGCCUUUGUCUCAGCCCCGAAGGAGGCGGCAGCGCCCGGCGGCUUUCUGCGUUUCCGGGGAGGCGACAUGUCCGGCUACGUGAGCGCCCUCUGGCCCGGCUCUCCGCCGGACAAAGGCUCGCCGACCACGUCGCGCUCGGGCCGCUCGAGCCGCUCCUCGUCCGGCAGCUCGCGCGGCUCGAGCCGGAGCCGUAGCAGGUCCCGAUCCCGCUCCCGGAGGCGCCACCAGCGCAAGUACCGGCGCUACUCGCGCUCCUACUCGCGCAGCCGCUCGCGGUCCCGCAGGACCGGCCGGUCUCCCUGGCGGGGCCGCUCCCGCAGCAGGUCGCGCUCGCGGGGACGGUGGUCGCGCCGACGGCCGCAGCCCCCGGUGGCCCGCGCCCGCCGCUCCUACGGCUUCGCACGCGCCGUGUACCCGGGGCAGCGCGGCCGGCGCAGGGGCAGGUCCCGCAGCAGGUCACGCAGUCGCACCCCGUUCCGGUUGAGCGAGAAAGAUAGAAUGGAGUUGUUGGAAAUAGCAAAGGCCAAUGCAGCAAAGGCCUUAGGAACAGCCAACUUUGACUUGCCAGCCAGUCUCCGAACACUUUCAGCGACCAAAGAAACAAGCCAUGGAACAGCUGUGUCACAGGAUGGAGCAAAGUCCGAGAUGUCAGAAGAGCUAACAAAAGGUGGAUUUUAAAACCUCAAUGAAAAAUCUUCCCAGCAGAAAAACAUAGCUUUUAGCCCUAAUAAUUCUGUAGCAAAACCAGUACACAACAUGGAUAAAGCUGUUGCUGAAGAAACUUCUUCAGGAUCACCACCAAAGAUUAAUAAGAAAAAAAGUCCGUAUGAGCUGUGGCUACCUGUCUGAAAGAAGAAAUCUACAAACUAAGAUUGCCUAAAAUUGCACUUUAUUGCAAGUUUCUCUUGCAUCAUAUGAGCAUACAGAUGGACCAGAGGUUACAUACAGGUCAGUAAUGUAUAUGGAAAGAAAGAUGGAGAUGUGUCAGCUGGGUCACUCUGCAGAUGGCCACAGAAGGUGGGACUGGGCCAGGCUGAAACCAGGAGCUUCUUCCCAAGCAGAGGCUUGCAUUUCAUCCCGAAAGGAGAGGGGAAGCACUGCAAGUCACUGCACCUGGACCUUUAGGUGUGAAUUUGCGCCUGUCGGGGAACAGUGUGGCAAGCACAGAGGGAAAGGUGGUUAGUGAAGGGACCUGAGGGGGAAAUUGUCCUGGCUUGACUGUGG